rnacentral:rRNA from 1 species
AGUGGCGGACGGGUGAGUAACACGUAAGAAUUUGCCUUUAGGAGGGGGACAACAACUGGAAACGGUUGCUAAUACCCCAUAUGCUUUCGAGUGAAAUGGAUUUUUCCGCCUAAAGAGAAGCUUGCGGCUGAUUAGCUUGUUGGUGAGGUAAUGGCUCACCAAGGCGACGAUCAGUAUCUGGUCUGAGAGGAUGAUCAGACACACUGGAACUGAGACACGGUCCAGACUCCUACGGGAGGCAGCAGUGGGGAAUUUUCCGCAAUGGGCGAAAGCCUGACGGAGCAAUCUCGCGUGAGGGAUGACGGCCUAUGGGUUGUAGACCUCUUUUUUCAGGGAGGAACAAAAUGACGUGUACCUGAAGAAUAAGCAUCGGCUAACUCCGUGCCAGCAGCCGCGGUAAGACGGAGGAUGCAAGUGUUAUCCGGAAUCACUGGGCGUAAAGCGUCUGUAGGUGGUUUAAUAAGUCAACUGUUAAAUCUUGAAGCUCAACUUCAAAAUCGCAGUCGAAACUAUUAGACUAGAGUAUAGUAGGGGUAAAGGGAAUUUCCAGUGGAGCGGCGAAAUGCGUAGAUAUUGGAAAGAACACCGAUGGCGAAGGCACUUUACUGGGCUAUUACUGACACUCAGAGACGAAAGCUAGGGUAGCAAAUGGGAUUAGAUACCCCAGUAGUCCUAGCCGUAAACAAUGGAUACUAGAUGU